rnacentral:rRNA from 1 species
AUUGAACGCUGGCGGCAGGCCUAACACAUGCAAGUCGAGCGGAUGAAGGGAGCUUGCUCCUGGAUUCAGCGGCGGACGGGUGAGGAAUGCCUAGGAAUCUGCCUGGGAGUGGGGGAUAACGUCCGGAAACGGGCGCUAAUACCGCAUACGUCCUGAGGGAGAAAGUGGGGGAUCUUCGGAGCACACGCUAUUAGAUGAGCCUAGGUCGGAUUAGCUAGUUGGUGGGGUAAAGGCCUACCAAGGCGACGAUCCGUAACUGGUCUGAGAGGAUGAUCAGUCACACUGGAACUGAGACACGGUCCAGACUCCUACGGGAGGCAGCAGUGGGGAAUAUUGGACAAUGGGCGAAAGCCUGAUCCAGCCAUGCCGCGUGUGUGAAGAAGGUCUUCGGAUUGUAAAGCACUUUAAGUUGGGAGGAAGGGCAGUAAGUUAAUACCUUGCUGUUUUGACGUUACCAACAGAAUAAGCACCGGCUAACUUCGUG